UACGGGGGGGCAAGCGUUGUUCGGAAUUACUGGGCGUAAAGGGCUCGUAGGUGGCCAACUAAGUCGGACGUGAAAUCCCUCGGCUUAACCGGGGAACUGCCUUUGAUACUGAAGAUCUUGAGUUCGGGAGAGGUGAGUGGAACUGCGAGUGUAGAGGUGAAUUCGUAGAUAUUCGCAAGAACACCAGUGGCGAAGGCGGCUCACUGGCCCGAUACUGACGCUGAGGCACGAAAGCGUGGGGAG
rnacentral:rRNA from 1 species